AUCGAACGCUGGCGGCAUGCCUUACACAUGCAAGUCGAACGGGCUUUGGGGCUUGCUCCAAAGUUAGUGGUGAACGGCUGAGUAAUAUAUCGGAACGUACCCUAGCGUGGGGAUAACUAGUCGAAAGACUGGCUAAUACCGCAUACGAGCUAAGGAGGCACGUGGGGGACCGCAAGGCCACCUGCUCAUGGAGCGGCCGAUAUCUGAUUAGCUAGUUGGUGGGGUAAAAGCCUACCAAGGCGACGAUCAGUAGCUGGUCUGAGAGGACGAUCAGCCACACUGGGACUGAGACACGGCCCAGACUCAUACGGGAGGCAGCAGUGGGGAAUUUUGGACAAUGGGGGAAACCCUGAUCCAGCAAUGCCGCGUGAGUGAAGAAGGCCUUCGGGUUGUAAAGCUCUUUUGUCAGGGAAGAAACGGUGGGGGCUAAUAUCCCCUGCUAAUGACGGUACCUGAAGAAUAAGCACCGGCUAACUACGUGCCAGCCGCCGCCGUAA
rnacentral:rRNA from 1 species